rnacentral:piRNA from 1 species
UGCAUCAGUUGUUUGAUAUGAGAAUGAUGU